rnacentral:rRNA from 1 species
UAGGUCCCAGUUCGGAUCGUAGGCUGCAACCCGCCUGCGUGAAGUUGGAAUUGCUGUAAUCGCGGAUCAGCAUGCCGCGGUGAAUACGUUCCCGGGCCUUGUACACACCGCCCGUCACACCAUGGGAGCCGGUAAUGCCCGAAGUCAGUAGCCUAACCGCAAGGAGGGCGCUGCCGAAGGUAGGAUUGGCGACUGGGGUGAAGUCGUAACAAGGUAAC